UUGUGUCCGGCUUCACGUGGCUUAGCGUUAACCAGUAUGACAUCACAGUACCGCGUGAUUACACUGUUUCGUGCGCUUUUGAAUCACUCUCGCGGUACUUCAAUGUCUGCGCAUGUCUGCAUGAAGUCAACCACUCAUGCUUGUAACAGGGGUAGCGUUUGUGCGCUCAGUGAUUUAGGGUGUUACAAAACAAGAUUAUUACAUUAAUAUUAUCAAUUAGUAUUGUAAUAAAGCUUUUUAAAUGUUUGUUAAUGAUUAAGUGUCAUUAACAAACUCUGAUUUAAAACAUCAAUAUAUAUGCUACGUAAAUUUUCCUUAAAUCAUCAAAACAUCCAAAUUCAAUGAAACAAAAACAACAACAAUGUAUUUAAGAUGAGACACAUUCAGCAUUUAUAAUUUUUUCUCUCUUUUUUGUUUGACUUUGUUUUCUAAAGUAGCCUGUUAACAGUAGACCAAAGGUAUGAUGAUCAAUUAUAAAUGCAAUAUGGUUGAAAGGUCAGUAAACAAACAACAAAAAGGUAAUUUCUUAAUAGAAUGUCUAUACAUUUUUUGCUUUUGUUACAUAUUUCAUACAUCAAAAUCAUUAAACGUUAAUAAUUAUGUAUUCCAACUUGUUGCAGCUUGACAAAAAUGUAGCUUGAAGGAGAAGGGACAGCUGAGUAACAAAGUCCUGGUACGCAGACGACGAUACUAUUACACUGACAAGAGUGUAAUGAUGAUGGAGACACAAGCCACAGAAAGUGGGGACCAAACACCAGGCCAGAAUUCUGCAUGAGUCAGAUCCAGUGGGUGCAGAUCAUCAUACAGAUGGUUCAAGUGUGGAUCCACCUAAUAUUCAAGAUUUUCUGUCCUGGGACACUCGGCUAACCAUCAAGAAAGAACACACUCCAGUGGGCAUCGUUUAUCCAUCCAGACCCUCAUACAGAUGGUUGGAGUUUUGAUUCACCUAAAGUACCAUGCAAGAGCACUCAUUUUCACUCUUGAGACCAGGGUGUGACCUGCAAGGUCGAAUGGAGACUGUAAACGAGACAAUCUUGGAGUCACCUGCAUUCACUGGUCCAGUUGUUAGUCCAAUUACAGAUGGAGAUUAUAGAAGAGGAUGAUGUCUUUUCUCCAACAUCUUUCUAGACUGAUAAAAGAUCUAGACAGGCUUGAACAAAAGUUAACAGAGGGGCUUAUAUAGAGAAUGGUGAGCAGCUACACAUAAAAGAAGAACAUGGAGAAUCUGCCCAGAGGUGUUAACCAGCAAUGCAGCUAUACAACUAAAUUGAUGCAGGCGGAAACAAUGUGUAAUGCAGCUGCUGCAGAUGAAGAAUCUGUCCGUCUACCACUGAAUGAGACGCGGAAAAUCGGGAAAAGAUGUUCUUUGCCCGAGGAAGCAUUUGAUUAAUUUAAAGAUAUUGUGUUUCUUUGUAUGUUAUAGAAAAACAUUGCUUUUUUGCAUACACUCGUGUAAAUAUGCAUCUUAUGAAUGUUUUCCUUUGUCUAAUUUUAAUAAAUUUUACGCAAUCAA